GGUUGAUAUAGACAGCAGGACGGUGGCCAUGGAAGUCGGUACCCGCUAAGGAGUGUGUAACAACUCAAAAGAACU
rnacentral:ncRNA from 1 species